UACGGGGGGAGCAAGCGUUGUUCGGAUUUACUGGGCGUAAAGGGCGCGUAGGCGGCCUCUGCAAGUCGACUGUGAAAUCUCCGGGCUUAACCCGGAAAGGUCAGCCGAUACUGCAGGGCUAGAGUGCAGAAGGGGCAACUGGAAUUCUCGGUGUAGCGGUGAAAUGCGUAGAUAUCGAGAGGAACACCUGCGGCGAAGGCGGGUUGCUGGGCUGACACUGACCAGGCUGAGCGAGGCGAAAGGCUAGGGGAGCAAACAGG
rnacentral:rRNA from 1 species